rnacentral:rRNA from 1 species
CCUACGGGUGGCUGCAGUGGGGAAUAUUGCACAAUGGGCGCAAGCCUGAUGCAGCCAUGCCGCGUGUGUGAAGAAGGCCUUCGGGUUGUAAAGCACUUUCAGCGGGGAGGAAGGCGUUAAGGUUAAUAACCUUGGCGAUUGACGUUACCCGCAGAAGAAGCACCGGCUAACUCCGUGCCAGCAGCCGCGGUAAUACGGAGGGUGCAAGCGUUAAUCGGAAUUACUGGGCGUAAAGCGCACGCAGGCGGUCUGUCAAGUCGGAUGUGAAAUCCCCGGGCUCAACCUGGGGACUGCAUUCGAAACUGGCAGGCUAGAGUCUUGUAGAGGGGGGUAGAAUUCCAGGUGUAGCGGUGAAAUGCGUAGAGAUCUGGAGGAAUACCGGUGGCGAAGGCGGCCCCCUGGACAAAGACUGACGCUCAGGUGCGAAAGCGUGGGGAGCAAACAGGAUUAGAUACCCGGGUAGUC